UUCAUGCUUAAAGCUCAAGCAGAAUUUGGGGCACAAGACUGGCAAAUAUGUCCCGUGUCUCAGUUUAUGUGCGUGUCGAGGUAGAAGAAGGUUUUAUACUGCGUGUGUUUGCACAUAUAGGAGAGAGUAUCCGGGUUCCGUGGGGGCUCAGUUGAACUCUCUGUACUUCUGUCUACCUUUCGUGCUCCACUUGAAAAUUACUGAGCCAGAACAGAGCACCGAGGGACACGUCACAGGCACAGCCACAGCAGAUACUCGGCCUCACAGUGCAGCUCCUACUGACCUGGAGUUUGCUCCGUAGACCAGACUGCCCUCAGAUACACAGAGAUCCACCUGCUUCUCAAGUGCUGGGACUAAAGGUGAUGAAAGGAGACAGAGACAGAGACCCACAAUGGAGCACCGGACUGAAAUCUCAAGGUCCAAAUCAGAAGCAGAAGGAGAGAGAGCACAAGCAAGGAACUCAGGACCGCGAGGGGUGCACCCAUACACUGAGACAAGGGGGAUGUUCUAUCGGGAACUCACCAAGGCCACCUGGCCUGGGUCUGAAAAAGCCUGGGUUAAAACCGGUCUAGCUGAACAUAGUGGACAAUGAGGACUACUGAGACCUCAAGAACAAUGGCAAUGGGUUUUUGAUCCUACUGUACCUAUUGGUUUCGUGGGAGCCUAGGCAGUUUCGUGGAUGCUCACCUUACUAGACCUGGAUGGAGGGGGGUGGUCCUUGGACUUCCCACAGGGCAGGGAACCCUGAUUGCUCUUUGGGCUGACGAGGGAGGGGGACUUGAUUG